rnacentral:rRNA from 1 species
UACGAAGGGGGCUAGCGUUGCUCGGAAUCACUGGGCGUAAAGCGCACGUAGGCGGAUUGCUAAGUCAGGGGUGAAAUCCUGGAGCUCAACUCCAGAACUGCCUUUGAUACUGGCGACCUUGAGUCCGGGAGAGGUGAGUGGAACUGCGAGUGUAGAGGUGAAAUUCGUAGAUAUUCGCAAGAACACCAGUGGCGAAGGCGGCUUACUGGUCCGGUUCUGACGCUGAAGGCGCGAAAGCGUGGGGAGGACAAG